GAAAUAGAUAUCGUUAACUUCAUAGCAGUCCUUAAGAGUUUCCUUUCCCCAAUUUUCUCUCGUUCCAUCUUCUUCCCUGCUUUGCUCUUGGCAGACUAGAACCUUCAUUGCAUCCCAGCAAGAAACCUUGACCCGUCUCUCUGCUACCAGGAUGAAUCCUGUAUUCUUCACCGCUUUUAUAACCUUCUUGUCUCUUAUUCCUAAUCUUCUCGCGAUUUGGUAUUUUACAGUUCUUCUGAUUGGCUCGGCUAGCCAUCUCCAAGCCCCGCUUUGCAAUGUCUGUGCCGAUAGUUAGGGAGGACCAGAACUCAAUUGUCCUAUCCAGUUCUACUGAAGUCCAACUUAUGAUCUGUGGUGGGAUGAUGAACGGGGGGGAUGUGGCCAUUACAGAAGAGAGCACUAUCAGGUGUCAACCAACUAACGGUCUGCUGCACACAAAAAAGAAAAGAUAAUAGACACGAUAAUUCCAUGAAUUCUUUCCAACUAUGGAUUUGAUGAAUUCUUUCAUAAUGAUUAGAUGAAGGUGGAUGGAUGGAUUUCCAGCAUUAAAUCCGGCUGCCGGGUUUAAACAGAGGUUCGCCCCUUGGGUUUUAAAACUGCUGUCUUACUUGUCAAAUUUGGUGAUAAGCUUUGUCUUUCAUACCUGUUCAUUUUCCUGCUUUUUCAGGGGUUUGACAACUGCAAAUAUUUUCCUAAAAAGUGCUUUGUUAGACCAUUCUGAAUCAAAACAUAUGGAUAGGUCAUGAUCAAACUAAUGUAUUUUGUUAUCAUGAAUCACAUUGACUUGUUGAGUUUUCCGAAGAUAAGAUUCAACAAUAUAAAUGCUUGCCAAGAGCUAUAGGAUGGAAAUUUUGAAUAUCAGAAAAUAUAAAUUAAUAUAUAAGUGUUGGAACAUUAACUUUGUUGAUAACGUGCCAGUUGUAUUGACAAAUUUAUUUCACAUUUUCUAAAGGCUUUUGUGACGUCUUUGCAGCUCAUUUAAGCAGUAAGAGGGGUGAGCAAUCGAUAGGGUAUGAAUACCAACAUAGACUAUACUAUUUUUGUGGAUAGUAAACCAAGGUCACAUGUCGUCAUAGGAUAGCGUAAUGGUAUAAGAUUAUAGAGACUGUAAUUGAUAGGAUUAGGCACAAGUUUAUGCCUAAAAGAGAUAUACAUUGUGGAUAUGGAGACCAUAGUAGGAUCUGUGCCUGUAUUGAACCUUAAAAUGUAUUAGUCCAAUAUAUAAGACGAAAAAGAACUAUCCUAAGAUAGAUAAGAUGAAAUUACAAAUCCAAUAUGAGGUCUAAUUUUUUUUCUUUUCUUAGUUAAUGCUUUAGAAGGUACAAAUCCAAUGGGAGGUCUAAUUGUUAUUUUCUUAGUUAAUCCUUUAGAAGGUAAAUGAUCAUAAAACAAAUGUAGCUACAAACUCUCUGUGAAAAAUGAAGUACAUAUUUGUAGUACAGAAUAAGCAGUAAGAGAUAAGAGUUAUUUAUUCAAAAGUUUGGUCGGUAUUCAAAUAAUUUUGUGAUGAAUAGGAAAUAUUAUUAUUGGUAUACAAACAAAAUUUUCAAACAUUUCAACUAAAUUGAAAACUUUGCCCAUUCUCAUGGAGCCACUAUUCAUUUGGAGUAUUUAACCAUUGGAAAAUUUUGUUUGCUAGAGUAUUGAAUCACUUGGUUCUGAUGAACUACGAACUAUUUUUAGUAGAUCAUUUAACCAUGAACUUUAGUCACUAUUUACUUCUGCAGGAAAAUGCUUAAAUGUGAACUUUAAUUUGGGAGAUAAGAUUAAUAAUUCUUUCAUUGGGAUCCUUUCACUAGUUUCAUAUUAAAUAUGAACUUUAUUCACUAAAAAAAAAA